rnacentral:rRNA from 1 species
CCUACGGGGGGCAGCAGUGGGGAAUAUUGCGCAAUGGGCGAAAGCCUGACGCAGCGACGCCGCGUGAGGGAUGAAGGUCUUCGGAUCGUAAACCUCUGUCAGCAGGGAAGAACGGUCACUGUGCUAAUCAGCAGUGAAUUGACGGUACCUGCAAAGGAAGCACCGGCUAACUCCGUGCCAGCAGCCGCGGUAAUACGGAGGGUGCGAGCGUUAAUCGGAAUUACUGGGCGUAAAGCGCUCGUAGGCGGUAUGUCAAGUCAAGUGUGAAAGCCCUGCGCUCAACGUGGGAACUGCCUUUGAAACUGGCAAACUGGAGUGUGUGAGAGGAUAGUGGAAUUCCAGGUGUAGGAGUGAAAUCCGUAGAUAUCUGGAGGAACAUCAGUGGCGAAGGCGACUAUCUGGCACAUAACUGACGCUGAGGAGCGAAAGCGUGGGUAGCAAACAGGAUUAGAUACCCUAGUAGUC